AAACCAACAGGGAUUGCCUCAGUAACGGCGAGUGAAGCGGCAAGAGCUCAAAUUUGAAAGCUGGCCCCCUCGGGGUCCGCAUUGUAAUUUGCAGAGGAUGCUUCGGGUGCAGCCCCCGUCUAAGUGCCCUGGAACGGGCCGUCAUAGAGGGUGAGAAUCCCGUCUGGGACGGGGUGUCUGCGUCCGUGUGAAGCUCCUUCGACGAGUCGAGUUGUUUGGGAAUGCAGCUCUAAAUGGGUGGUAAAUUUCAUCUAAAGCUAAAUACUGGCCGGAGACCGAUAGCGCACAAGUAGAGUGAUCGAAAGAUGAAAAGCACUUUGAAAAGAGAGUUAAACAGCACGUGAAAUUGUUGAAAGGGAAGCGUUUGCGACCAGACUCGCCCGCGGGGUUCAGCCGGCACUCGUGCCGGUGUACUUCCCCGUGGGCGGGCCAGCGUCGGUUUGGGCGGCCGGUCAAAGGCCCUCGGAAUGUAUCACCUCUCGGGGUGUCUUAUAGCCGAGGGUGCAAUGCGGCCUGCCCGGACCGAGGAACGCGCUUCGGCUCGGACGCUGGCGUAAUGGUCGUAAAUGAC
rnacentral:rRNA from 1 species